rnacentral:rRNA from 1 species
CAUAGCCUUUAGCCCCAACCGUAUUAAAGGUAACGCCUGCCCAGUGAAGUUUAAACGGCCGCGGUAUCCUAACCGUGCAAAGGUAGCGUAAUCACUUGUCCCCUAAAUAGAGACUAGUAUGAACGGCUAAAUGAGGGUUCACCUGUCUCCUACGGCCAAUCAGUGAAACUGAUCUUCCAGUCCAAAAGCUGGAAUAAACACAUAAGACGAGAAGACCCUGUGGAGCUUAAAAUUAAAGCCACCAAAACCAACCAUCAAUAAAACAUGGCCUACAAUUUUAAGUUGGGGCGACUUCGGAACCAAACAAAACUUCCGAGCAUAAGAACAUACAUCAUCCCUAGGCCAACAUGCCUAAGCACAAACCGACCCAGUCACACUGAUCAACGAACCAAGUUACCCCAGGGAUAACAGCGCCAUCUUCUUCAAGAGUUCCUAUCGCCAAGAAGGUUUACGACCUCGAUGUUGGAUCAGGACACCCAAAUGGUGUAGCCGCUAUUAAAGGUUCGUUUGUUCAACGAUUAACAGUCCUACGUGAUC